UGGGAAGCAAAGGAGGUAAUGUCCGGUUCUGAGGCAGUUGACCAAUUAAUAUCUACACAAGCCGACUAUCAUAUGAGUAUUAGAGGUAAAUCUGAGUGGAGAUUGAAGACCUCCAUCAUAGGUUAUGUUUGCAUAGCGAGGAAAGGAAUGAUGUAUAAUACUUCUGUAGGAGAAUUAACUUGUCUAGGGCAAAAAGCUUAUGAUGAUGAUACAAAGAAUACAACUUGGUGGUCGGCUUCAAAUGUCUCAGAACCAUCUAACCCGUUUGCAAGAUAUGACAAUUUAAAGGACGUAUGGUUUGAUCUAUCCAUCACAUCUAACUGGAGAGCCCCAGCGAAUUUGUACUGGAUCUGUGGUAAGAAGGCCUAUUCGGAGUUACCACAGGACUGGGAAGGGGCAUGUGUGUUGGGUAUGUUAAAACCAUCCUUCUUCUUGUUGCCUAUUGAAACAGGUGGGACUUUAGGUGUUAAAGUGUAUGAUGUGAAUCAUAGGAAGAAAAGGGGACCCAUAGAGAUAGGUGCCUGGGAAGAUAAUGAAUGGCCUCCCCAGCGUAUUAUAGAUUAUUAUGGGCCAGCCACGUGGGCAGAGGAUGGUACCUUUGGUUAUAGAACCCCUAUUUAUAUGCU